rnacentral:rRNA from 1 species
UCAAGCUAGAAAGGGCACGCGGUGGAUGCCUCGGCACCAGGGGCCGAAGAAGGGCGUGGCAAGCUGCGAAAAGCCCCGGGGAGCCGCAAGCAGGCUGUGAUCCGGGGAUGCCCGAAUGGGGAAACCUGACGGGGAAAACCCCCGUCACCAGCAGGUGAAUCCAUAGCCUGCUGGGGGGCAGCCCGCGAACUGAAACAUCUUAGUAGCGGGACGAAAAGAAAGCAACCGCGAUGCCCCGAGUAGUGGCGAGCGAAAGGGGCAAAGCCCAAACCGUCACCGUGUAAAAGCCCGCAGGCGUUGCGGUGGCGGUGUAGCGGGACAGCACCAGAGGGGGCUGCGGACCCCUCAGGGAGUUACAAAACCCCGACCUAGCCGAAGUGGCCUGGAACGGCCCGCCGUAGAGGGUGAGAGCCCCGUAGGCGAAAGGUCAGGGGUCUCCCGGGGUGCUGCUCCCAAGUAGCUCGGGCCCCGUGAAAGCCUGAGCGAAUCUGGGGGGACCACCCUCUAAGGCUAAAUACCCCUGGUGACCGAUAGCGCACCAGUACCGUGAGGGAAAGGUGAAAAGAACGGUGGGAAGCCGAGUGAAAUAGAGCCUGAAACCGCGUGCCUACAAGCAGUCGGAGGGCUAUGCCCCGUGACAAUCACGGGGAAUGCCUGACGGCGUGCCUCUUGAAGAAUGAGCCGGGGAGUUGCCGUCGGUGGCGAGGCUAAGCGCCAUCAGGCGCGGAGCCGUAGGGAAACCGAGUCUGAAUAGGGCGUUAGUCGCCGGCGGCAGACCCGAAACCGAGCGAGCUACCCCUGCCCAGGGUGAAGUGCCCUUAACCGGGCACGGAGGCCCGAACCCGUCGGUGUUGCAAAACCGUGGGAUGAGGUGGGGGUAGCGGUGAAACGCCAAUCGAGCUCGGAGAUAGCUGGUUCUCCCCGAAACACGUGUAGGCGUGACGUCGGGCCAUUAAGCGGCGGAGGUAGAGCCACGGAUGGGGGUAGGGGGUUAACAGCCUACCAAACCCCGUCCAACUCCGAAUGCCGCCGCUGGUCCCUUUAUGGGGCUAAGGCCCGGCAGUCGGACUCCGGGGGAUAAGCUCCGGAGUCGCGAGGGAAACAGCCCAGACCGCCAGCUAAGGCCCCCAAGUCCCGGCUUAGUGGGGAACGCGGUGGGGCUCCUAAGACAGCCGGGAGGUUGGCUUAGAAGCAGCCAUCCUUUAAACAGUGCGUAACAGCUGACCGGCCGAGGAGCCCUGCGCGGAAGAUUCAACGGGGCUAAGCCGGGCGCCGAAGCUGCGGGCUUGGCGGAACUGCCUAUAAGGCAUUCCGUCAGGCGGUAGGGGAGCGUUCCGCCUGCUGUGAAGCCCGACCGAAAGGACGGGUGGAGCGGGCGGAAGUGAGAAUCCCGGCACGAGUAGCGAUAAGGCCGGUGAGAAUCCGGCCCGCCGGAAGCCCAAGGUUUCCGACGCAACGCUCGUCGGCGUCGGGUUAGGCGGUCCUAAGCCGAGGCCGUUCGGCGUAGGCGAUGGGCAGCCGGUUGACAUUCCGGCCCCACCGACCUCCGCCAUCAGGGAUGGGGGACGCUCCCAAGGGAGCCUACGCGGCGAUGGUCGUCCGCGGCGACCGUGGAGUGAGCCGUCCAAGUGGAUGGCUCGCUUGGCGGGAGUGAGCCGCCUUUGUGCGGCGAAGUGGCGCCCCAAGGGAGCCAAGAAAAGCCCUUACCGAGUCCAUCCCCAAAAGGGAUGGCGCGGAGCGUCGGUGACCGUACCGGAAACCGCCACAGGUGGGCGAGGAGAGUAUCCACAGGCGCGCGGGAUAACCCCCGCCAAGGAACUCUGCAAAAUGUCCCCGUAACUUCGGGAGAAGGGGAGCCGUAGUAGGGUGAAAGGGCCUUCGCGCCCAAGUAGCCCGAGGCGGUCGCAGAUAAGCGGCCGGGGCGACUGUUUAACAAAAACACAGGUUCCUGCCAACCCGAAAGGGGAGGUAUAGGGGCCGACGCCUGGCCAGUGCCCGAAGGUUAAGGGGACGGGUUCGCCGGGUUCUCGCCCGGCAAAGCUCGCGCCCCGAAGCCCGGGUAAACGCCGGCCGUAACCCUGACGGUCCUAAGGUAGCGAAAUUCCUUGUCGGGUAAGUUCCGACCCGCACGAAAGGCGUAACGACUUCGGCGCUGUCUCGGCGGGGGGCCCGGUGAAACUGUGGUGUCCGUGAAGACGCGGACUACCCGCGGCGGGACGGAAAGACCCCGUGGAGCUUUACUGCAGCCUGGCCUUGGGCUUUGGGGCGGGAUGCAGAGAAUAGGUGGGAGCCUGUGAAGCUCGCCCUCCGGGGCGGGUGGAGGCGCCAGUGGAAUACCACCCUUCCCGCUCUUGGGUCCUAACUUGGUCCCGUGAAUCCGGGCCAAGGACAGGGUCAGGUGGGCAGUUUGGCUGGGGCGGCGGCCUCCUAAAAGGUAACGGAGGCGUCCAAAGGUCCCCUCAGGCGGGAUGGAAAUCCGCCGUGGAGUGCAAAGGCAUAAGGGGGCCUGACUGUGAGGCUCACAAGCCGAGCAGCCGCGAAAGCGGGGCUUAGUGACCCGGCGGUUUGGGAGUGGGACCGCCGCCGAUCAACGGAUAAAAGCUACCCCGGGGAUAACAGGCUAAUGGCGCCCGAGCGUCCCCAGCGACGGCGCCGUUUGGCACCUCGAUGUCGGCUCAUCGCAUCCUGGGGCUGAAGCCGGUCCCAAGGGUUGGGCUGUUCGCCCAUUAAAGCGGUACGUGAGCUGGGUUCAGACCGUCGUGAGACAGGUCGGUCCCUAUCCGCCGCGGGCGCAGGAGGCUUGAGGGGGGCUCGCCCUAGUACGAGAGGACCGGGCGGGACCAGCCUCUGGUGUCCCGGCUGUCGCGCCAGCGGCACGCGCCGGGUAGCCAUGCUGGGUCGGGAUAACCGCUGAAAGCAUCUAAGCGGGAAGCCCACCCCAAGAUAAGGCCUCCCACGGGGGCAACCCGGUAAGGGCCCGGGAAGACUACCCGGUUGAUGGGCCGGAGGUGGAAGCCCAGCAAUGGGUGGAGCUGACCGGUCCCAAUAGCCCGAGGGCUUGACUG